GUGAUCCUUUCGUUAGGCACCUCCAGAAGCCUAUGCAGCCCCGCAAGGGGGGGUUACGCAGCACUGCAAGUCACGCUCGUGGCGACAUAAUCGAAUUGCGGGAAGCCCUAAAGCUCAGCGGUACCAACCUCGUCUGGAAACGGAUGGGGGGCUCGUGCUAACCACACGAGGCGGUAAGAAUCCGCUGAGAUGCUCCAAUGGGUGAUCCGCAGCGAAGCCCCUACAGCCCUCGCGGGCCACGGGGAACGUUCACAGACUAGGUGGUUAUGGGCGGAGGUUAGCCUCCGCUUAAGAUAUAGUCGGGUCCGUGGGGAAACCCACGGGAGACGUCCUAGACGCCAAAACCGUUCCGUUGGUGAACCAGCGGAAGGAUCAUUACAGAGAUCAUGCCCUUCGGGGUAGACCUCCCACCCUGUGUUAUUUACUCUUUGUUGCUUUGGCAGGCCGCCUUCGGGCUCCCGGCUUCGGCUGGGGCGUGCCUGCCAGAGGACCCCAUAUUCUAUGUUUACAGUGUCGUCUGAGCAUUAUAAAAUAAGUUAAAACUUUCAACAACGGAUCUCUUGGUUCUGGCAUCGAUGAAGAACGCAGCGAAAUGCGAUAAGUAAUGUGAAUUGCAGAAUUCAGUGAAUCAUCGAAUCUUUGAACGCACAUUGCGCCCCUUGGUAUUCCGGGGGGCAUGCCUGUUCGAGCGUCAUUUCAACCCUCAAGCUUUGCUUGGUCUUGGGCUCUGCCGGCAACGGCUGGCCUUAAAAUCAGUGGCGGCGCCAUCGAGCUCUACGCGUAGUAAUUCUACCCUCGCGUGUGAGUCCCGGUGGAUGCUGGCCAGCAACCCCCNAAUUUUUUUAU
rnacentral:rRNA from 1 species